rnacentral:rRNA from 1 species
UGAGGAAUAUUGGUCAAUGGACGAGAGUCUGAACCAGCCAAGUAGCGUGAAGGAUGAAGGCUCUAUGGGUCGUAAACUUCUUUUAUAUGGGAAUAAAGUGAGCCACGUGUGGCUUUUUGUAUGUACCAUAUGAAUAAGGACCGGCUAACUCCGUGCCAGCAGCCGCGGUAAUACGGAGGGUCCGAGCGUUAUCCGGAUUUACUGGGUGUAAAGGGUGCGUAGGCGGGUCGACAAGUCAGAUGUGAAAUACCGCAGCUCAACUGCGGGGCUGCAUUUGAAACUGUCGAUCUUGAGUGCAGGAGAGGUAAGUGGAAUUCCCAGUGUAGCGGUGAAAUGCGUAGAUAUUGGGAGGAACACCAGUGGCGAAGGCGACUUACUGGACUGUAACUGACGCUGAGGCACGAAAGCGUGGGGAUCAAACA